GCAGCUAUAUAUCCAGCCAAAGAGCUCUCCUACUUCAUGAAACCCUGCGCCAUCUUGAACAGCCCACCGGCGGCGCCGCCGCUGCCGGCGCUCUCCUCCCCGCCGCCCUUCUUCUCCAUCAGCGACUCGGCCCCCUUCAUGACGUCGUCGAGACCGAACCCUUCCGACGACGACGGUGGCUUGCCUUCCUCCUUCUCAGCCGGCGCAGGCUCCUUG
rnacentral:misc_RNA from 1 species